UACGGAGGGUGCGAGCGUUGUUCGGAAUCACUGGGCGUAAAGGGCGCGCAGGCGGCUCAUUUUGUCAGGCGUGAAAGCCCCGGGCUUAACCUGGGAACUGCGUUUGAUACGGAUGGGCUAGAGUUCGGGAGAGGAGAGUGGAAUUCCCAGUGUAGAGGUGAAAUUCGUAGAUAUUGGGAAGAACACCAGUGGCGAAGGCGGCUCACUGGCUCGUAACUGACGCUCAGGCGCGACAGCGUGGGGAUCAAACAGG
rnacentral:rRNA from 1 species